GCACACGUGGGAUAGCUCAGUUGGAGGAGCAUGAGACUCUUAAUCUCAGGGCUGUGGGUACGAGUCCCACAUUGGGCA
rnacentral:tRNA from 1 species